rnacentral:rRNA from 1 species
ACAUGCAAGUCGAACGCACCGCAAGGUGAGUGGCAGACGGGUGAGUAACGCGUGGGAACCUUCCCUGUGGUACGGAAUAACUUCGGGAAACCGAAGCUAAUACCGUAUAUCUCCUCCGGGAGAAAGAUUUAUCGCCAUAGGAUGGGCCCGCGUUGGAUUAGCUAGUUGGUGAGGUAAUGGCUCACCAAGGCUACGAUCCAUAGCUGGUCUGAGAGGAUGAUCAGCCACACUGGGACUGAGACACGGCCCAGACUCCUACGGGAGGCAGCAGUGGGGAAUAUUGGACAAUGGGCGCAAGCCUGAUCCAGCCAUGCCGCGUGAGUGAAGAAGGCCUUAGGGUUGUAAAGCUCUUUUGGCGGGGACGAUAAUGACGGUACCCACAGAAUAAGCCCCGGCUAACUUCGUGCCAGCAGCCGCGGUAAUACCAAAGGGGGCUAGCGUUGUUCCGGAAUCACUGGGCGUAAAGCGUACGCAGGCGGAUCGAUAAGUUAGGGGUGAAAUCCCGGGGCU